AUUUGCAAGAAAAUCACAAAUUGGAGCCUCAAAUCAGUUAGAAAUCGAAAUUCAAGCACUGAAUCGUGAUCACCUUGUCAAAGGGAUCCUAAGGCAAGGAAUCCGGAACGUCAAGUGGACACGCCGGAGGUGAUACCCGCGUAAAAGGUGUGCUUUGAAGGUAUGAAUGAAUCUCUCCCGGAUGAUGAUCAAGCACUUUGUCAAGAACCGAACAUGCAAUUUGAAGCUUCCGCACUGAAUAU